rnacentral:lncRNA from 1 species
CAGAGGAAGAGCCUCCUAAGAAAAGGGUACACAAUAGUGGAAUGAGAGAAAAGAGCAGAGAGAGCCAGAUGCCCACAUGAGAAGGGUCUGGAGGAAAGAGGCUGUUUGGGCAGAAAAUGAUGAUCCUUAGCUGCUAACUCUGUCAGCACAAAGAGAGUGGGACUGCAGAUGACCUCCAACACUGAAUAAACCAAAAAGGAUUCAUUUAACGUUUGAGAACAAAUUCUCAGGGAUCCCCUGUGAUCAGCAUUAAUGGACUGGGGCGAGAACAGAGAAGGUGACUUCACAUUUAUGAAUAUCAAAUAAUGAGGGCUCAGCUUUUUGCCUUCCAGCAGUCAAGUUCUUCUUCUGGGAAGUGCCUCUCUGUCGGGGUAACAAACAUUUUUAAGUUGACUGAUACAUUUUAAAAGUAGUAUGUAGAAAGGCUUUCUAAAAUCAAAAUCCAAUUUUAGUGAUUAC